UUUAAGAAAGUAAAUCGAUUUAAUCUGGGCGACGUAAAACCUGCCACAAUAGCGCUUCCUUUUUAAAGGCAGUACAUAGCGCACAGAGAGGAAUCGGAGGUGUAUAGUUGUCCGAAGCAGUGCGAAAAGAUGCCUACAAUCGGUGUAAUCACGAGAAUUCUUGUUCUAUCUCUGGUAACCAUAGGUAUUUGCGGUUUUCCAGUCCAAAAUCAAGGUCCCACAACGAGUACUGCUGCUCCUAACAUAAUCGCACCGGCCGUGGGGGGAUCUGUUGGUGGAUGCUGUGGGAUUGGGUGCUGUGUUCUCCUUUAUUUUUGUUUUAAGAAGAAAUAGUAACAGCGCACAGCCAUCACUUUCUACAAUCGAGAUGGCUAGCAACGCAAAAUUACAAGAAGAAGAAUGAUGACUUUUUCCGGAAUCUUCUUUACUAGAGAUUUUUUCACAACGCACUUACAUGUUACAAGUACAACGGAUUGAGCUUGUUUUGAAGACCACAUUUAAUGUAUCGAUUUUAUUUAAAUAUGUAGUGAAUGCGGAUUUAAACCUCGUUCAUAUUAUACUGCAUAUUAGAAUAGACGAAUACAGCUUAUCCAUUUAAUUACGUAUUCAAAAUGAAUGGCAUACUUAGAUCUUCAUUCAACGUGUCAAAUCGAUAAUAGGUUUAUACGCAUCAUUGUUGUUAUGUACGCGUCAAUUUGUAUAGAAAGAAAAUAUUUUGAUCUGUAUACAUAGCAUACAUUUUUUAAUAUUAAAUCGGCGUUCGUUUGUUAA